GCGCCCUUGUUGCAGCGGUAACACACAAUCUAUCAAUAAUUUGGGUCUCAUAGUUUAGAUUGGGUCUGGGGUUCGACUCCCCAAGGUUGCA